CGUGAACGCUGGCGGCGUGCCUAAUACAUGCACGUCGCCCGGAGUGGCGCACGGGUGAGUAAUGUCUAGCUAAUCUGCCCUACACUAGAGGACACCAGUUGGAAACGACUGCUAAUCAUAUAUAGUGUAGGAUGAGGCUAUUUUGUAUCAGCUAGUUGGUGAGGUAAUGGCUAACCAAGGCUAUGACGCAUAACUGGUCUGAGAGUAUGAUCAGUCCCACUGGAACUGAGACACGGUCCAGACUCCGACGGGAGGCAGCAGUAGGGAAUAUUGCUCAAUGGGGGAAACCCUGAAGCAGCAACGCCGCGUGGAGGAUUACACUUGUCGGAGCGUAAACUCCUUUGGUUAGGGAAGCGGUACCUAACGAAUAAGCACCGGCUAACUCCGUGCCAGCAGCCGCGGUAAGAC
rnacentral:rRNA from 1 species